GACGAACGCUGGCGGCGUGCCUAAUACAUGCAAGUAGAACGCUGAAGGAGGAGCUUGCUUCUCUGGAUGAGUUGCGAACGGGUGAGUAACGCGUAGGUAACCUGCCUGGUAGCGGGGGAUAACUAUUGGAAACGAUAGCUAAUACCGCAUAAUAUUGACUAUUGCAUGAUAGUCAGUUGAAAGGUGCAACUGCACCACUACUAGAUGGACCUGCGUUGUAUUAGCUAGUUGGUGGGGUAACGGCUCACCAAGGCGACGAUACAUAGCCGACCUGAGAGGGUGAUCGGCCACACUGGGACUGAGACACGGCCCAGACUCCUACGGGAGGCAGCAGUAGGGAAUCUUCGGCAAUGGACGGAAGUCUGACCGAGCAACGCCGCGUGAGUGAAGAAGGGUUUCGGAUCGUAAAGCUCUGUUGUAAGAGAAGAACGAGUGUGAGAGUGGAAAGCUCACACUGUGACGGUAUCUGACCAGAAAGGGACGGCUAACUACGUG
rnacentral:rRNA from 1 species